AUCCAGACUCCUACGGGAGGCAGCAGUGAGGAAUAUUGGUCAAUGGCCGAGAGGCUGAAUCAGCCAAGUCGCGUGAGGGAAGAAUGUCCUAAGGAUUGUAAACCUCUUUUGUCGGGGAGCAAAAAGGCUCUGCGGAGUCGUAUUGAGAGUACCCGAAGAAAAAGCAUCGGCUAACUCCGUGCCAGCAGCCGCGGUAAUACGGAGGAUGCGAGCGUUAUCCGGAUUUAUUGGGUUUAAAGGGUGCGUAGGCGGAUUUUUAAGUCAGCGGUAAAAUGUCCGGGCUCAACCCGGGCCGGCCGUUGAAACUGGGGAUCUUGAGUGGGCGAGAAGUAUGCGGAAUGCGUGGUGUAGCGGUGAAAUGCAUAGAUAUCACGCAGAACUCCGAUUGCGAAGGCAGCAUACCGGCGCCCGACUGACGCUGAGGCACGAAAGCGUGGGGAUCGAACAGGAUUAGAUACCCGAGUA
rnacentral:rRNA from 1 species